rnacentral:misc_RNA from 1 species
AGCAGCCGCGGUAAUUCCAGCUCCAAUAGCGUAUAUUAAAGUUGUUGCAGUUAAAAAGCUCGUAGUUGAAUUUCGGGAUCAGUUGGUCGGUCGUGCCUCGGUACGUACUGGUCAAAUUGAUUCCUACCUUCUGACGAACCACGAUGUCAUUAAUUUGGUGUCGCGGGAAAUCAGGACUGUUACUUUGAAAAAUUGAGUGUUUAAAGCAGGCUCGCGCUUGAAUACAUUAGCAUGGAAUAAUGAAAUAGGACGUUUGAUUCUAUUUUGUUGGUUUCUAGGAUCGACGUAAUGAUUAAUAGGGAUAGUUGGGGGCAUUAGUAUUCAAUUGUCAGAGGUGAAAUUCUUGGAUUUAUUGAAGACUAACUACUGCGAAAGCAUUUGCCAAGGAUGUUUUCAUUAAUCAAGAACGAAAGUUAGGGGAUCGAAGACGAUCAGAUACCGUCGUAGUCUUAACCAUAAACUAUGCCGACUAGGGAUC